CCUACGGGAGGCAGCAGUGGGGAAUAUUGCACAAUGGGCGCAAGCCUGAUGCAGCCAUGCCGCGUGUGUGAAGAAGGCCUUCGGGUUGUAAAGCACUUUCAGUUGUGAGGAAAGGAGUGUAGUUAAUAACUGCAUUCUGUGACGUUAGCAACAGAAGAAGGACCGGCUAACUCCGUGCCAGCAGCCGCGGUAAU
rnacentral:rRNA from 1 species